rnacentral:rRNA from 1 species
UGGGGAAUAUUGGACAAUGGGCGCAAGCCUGAUCCAGCAAUGCCGCGUGUGUGAAGAAGGCCUUCGGGUUGUAAAGCACUUUUAUCAGGAGCGAAACGCUGUCGGCUAAUACCCGGCGGAACUGACGGUACCUGAGGAAUAAGCACCGGCUAACUUCGUGCCAGCAGCCGCGGUAAUACGAAGGGUGCAAGCGUUAAUCGGAAUUACUGGGCGUAAAGCGUGCGUAGGCGGUUUCUUAAGUCUGCUGUGAAAUCCCCGGGCUCAACCUGGGAAUGGCAGUGGAUACUGGGAGGCUAGAGUGUGUCAGAGGGUGGUGGAAUUCCCGGUGUAGCGGUGAAAUGCGUAGAGAUCGGGAGGAACAUCAGUGGCGAAGGCGGCCACCUGGGACAACACUGACGCUGAGGCACGAAAAGCGUGGGGAGCAAACAGGAUUAGAUACCCUGGUAGUCCACGCCCUAAACGAUGCGAACUGGAUGUUGGUCUCAACUCGGAGAUCAGUGUCGAAGCUAACGCGUUAAGUUCGCCGCCUGGGGAGUACGGUCGCAAGACUGAAACUUAAAUGAAUUGAC